CCUGGAUUUAAAUCCUGACUCUCCUAUUAACUCGCUGUGGAACCUUGGAAGCAAGUGCCUUAUUAGUCACUAUGCCUCAGACCCCUGGGUAGACUAGGUAUCCUAAUAACAGCACCUACUUCCUAGGAUUAGAGAGAACAUCUAUAAAGUGCUUGGGAUGUCACAUAGUCAGGGCUCAGUCAGUGUCAACUGUUAUUAUUCAGCAUGGCCGUGUUGGGUCCUCUUUGACAAGCCCGACACUCCUCAUUUCCCAACAACUCGGCUACCUUAAACAGACCCCAAGUUCCCGCAGGGCUGAGAAGCAGCUACUCUUAGAUUUUCCUGGUCACCCAACUGGAGGGGUUUCCAGACUCUCAGGAGCUUCUUGCCUCUCUAGCCUCAUCAGAACACCAAAUUCUCAGCAUUGCAAGUUCCUGUAACAUUUUACAACUUAAGUUGAUCGGCAAUCCUCCCAAAGCUGACACCCAUAUCCUGUGGGUAACAGAUGAUGAAAGGUGAGCUCAGCCAGCCCAGGGAGCCCAGUCCACAGUGCUCUCUGCUUCCAUCUGCUCUGUCAACCCUAGGUAUGUAUUUGUGCUAGACCUUGUGUAAAAAAAAGGCAAGCAGACCUGCUUCCAGCCUCAGGGAGCUCACCCCUGAAACCAACAACACGAAUGUAAGUCAAAAUUAGGAUCA